rnacentral:tRNA from 1 species
AGAAAUAUAGUUAAAUAGAUAAUAUUUAUUUUGCUAAUAAAAGUUAAUUAAUAAAAUUUAUUUUUA